rnacentral:lncRNA from 1 species
CCUCCCACAGAUGGCGGAUGGAGGGGGGCAGCCCCAGAUCACCCAGCCGGCCAAGCUGACCGAGGCCUUCAAGUACUUUGUGCAGGGGAUGGGAUACAUCCCCCUGGUGCUGCAGCGCGGGUG